GUAGCACGCAAAUUGCGGCUAAGAGUUUUCCCGUCUUCUGCUUCGUUCCCUGGCUCCGAAAACAGACGGCUUAAGCGCCACCUCCGAAGAGGACCGUCUGUCGAGUUAUGUUUGCCCGGCAAGAAACCCAACCUCAGGGCGGGUUUGUUUUAUAAGAGACCAAAUAGCGAUUUAGGGACGAUACAGAAAACUCAAAAGUACGGCUAAUCGAGAUAUCUCACUUAUAGAGGUCACGUUAAGCGAUUCUGAAAACAUGGUUGAUGCUAACCGUCGUUCUACCAACUCACAAAGACACCACUCACGAGUAUCAUCACUGGAAGAACUCACCAGUUCAAAUUUCCCUGUUAGCUUCGGACACGUGAGUGGAGAGACUGAUUUCCCAGGCAGUCUAUCCUGGCGUACAAAAAGAUUAACAAAAACAGGUAGAACGACGCGAACGUGAGAAAUCUCGAAGACCAAAAAAACUGUUACAGGGAAAGCACUAACAUUUCACAAAAUACAGCAUGUUUGAAGGUAACGAAAAACUAACGAAACAUUUAUUCAAAUUUGAUAACCUAGGUUUAUUAACGCAUGUUCCUUUCCAUGCUAAUUCAUCUUCUUCUACUUCCUAGCUUUCCCUACGUGUGUGCGGUUUUAAUUUGUUCCUAUUCUAAUCUGAUUCUAUCGAUAUUGAUCGACAACGUUUUCUUCCGAGCUCGGUUAGUGUGUGUGGAGUUUAACGCAUGCGCAUGGUUAAUUAGAUUGGGCUUUUGUUCUACUCACGGUACCUUUCAGCUACUCAUCAAUGCCGUCGACAAAACAGAAGCGACGGCGUGGCGGUCGACGGACGGCUUGGUAAAACAGCACGCUAUUCUUAGCGCAUCCUACGGUGGAGGUACUGCGACGAUUGCACCAAAUGCGCGCGACGCGCGGCGGUUUGGAAAGUGCGCCUUUCUCGCUGCCGGUCGCUAAACGGACCGGAUCACCGGCGCAGUUGCUCCUCGGUGUCGAUGACGAUGGGGGUCGUCGAUGGCUUGGUCGGUGAGGUGACUACCGCAUGGCCGACUUAGGAAAACGUGGUUUUCGGCCCCCUCCGGCGGUGAAUGUUCCGAUCACCGAAAAAGUUGGUUGAUGGCGAAGCUGACGAUGGGGGUCGUCGGUGGCUUGGUCGGUAUGGUUGCUACCACAUGAACGCCGACGAAAAAAACGUGGUUUCGGCCGCUCUGUCGGAACGGUUGUUCCCUUCCGGCUUUCCCCUCAAACCGGGACUUUUGACGCUGCGACGUGGGGUCGAGAGCGCGUUUAGCGAAAAAGGUGCGGUGUGCCGAGCUUUCGGCCGUGGAUCAAAUCCUGAAUAAAAAGCCGUCGAACGGCUGUUCGACACGUUUAACGAAAAAGUUUACUCCACACAACAAAAAUAUCAAUUACCUUUUUCUAUUCCCUAACACGCACACACAAUCUAGUUUGACCGCACUUAACCUUUUAACAUAGGUUGUUGAACUUUGCUAUCUAACGGAAAGGAACGAAAGUAACUUGUAGUUUAAUCUAAAAGACUUCUCACAUUUUAUAAGUAUUACCAAAUAUAACACACCGCGACACUAAACUUAGAACACGCACUCCCGCCUCUUCCACGGUCCAGGUCAAAAUGGACGAGUAGAAGUUCUGUAAGUCCUCAGAUAAGGUCGGAUCCCAAGACUUCGUGGCCGGAAAUACGUAAAAUUACCGAAGUAAUUUACGAUCUUUUCAAACGACAAUUCUCAUCAACCACGAAUGAGAACCGAAUAAAUUGCUAUCUCUUUCACUUUCAUACCCAUCUGAAUGAUCUGUAUCGCUCCGUCUAUUUUUAAAUACCCGAUCCAUUUUUAUCGAGAGAGUUCGGGCUUGAACAUUGAACCUCGAGAUUGUUCGGGUUUCGUGGUGUAGUGGGUAGAGCAGCAGGGAUUUUAUUUACAUGUAUUAGACUUGUGAAGGCGACUUGCAUGCAAGUUGUAUGCGGUUUUGAAGUGCAUGUCAUUUUGAAUGGUGACAUUGAAUAUCGCAAAACAUUUAUAGUGAACUUUGGAAUUUAGUACAUUUGACACUGAAACAUUAAAUUUGAAUGAAAAAUAAAUUAACACGGAUAAUAAAUUAACAUUGAAGAACAUGAAAAAUAUUUAAUUUAAUAUACAGUUUAUGUACAUUUUAUAUACAUUUUAUAUAAUUUAUUGAAUAAAUCUUAAAAUAAUAUUUACCAAAAGUGACCAUGCUACAUCAUCCUCUACUAAAGGUACGAAAAUUUGAUUGAAAUUGAGAAGAUUUCAAUCAAAUUUUCGUAGGGUUAAAUAUUGAGAAAUUUUCCAGCUGAUAAUUGACUAUUGCGAAGAAUGGUUGGGCUAUUGAGUACAAAAAAUUCACGAAACAUUGUUGGAAGGCUGCGCACACAAGCAAACAUUAAAAAAAAACGAAACUGUAAAAGUACUUUCAUCUGGAGUAGGCCUUAACUCCAGAGAAGUAACCAUAAACUAGGACCCCUGUCUUCUACUCCAGCCAUCAUGGGCCGAACACUAAGACAGUGCCCGUAAAUCUCCUCAACACAAUACCUGUGGAUCGCGAACGUCGGUCUACUCCAGAACAUGUUCCGAACACCUGACCGCGUCCACUUUCCACAAUAAACAUAAACCGUACUAGUGAAUCCCGGCUGCGAUCCCUCCAGAUAUUCUACCCGAAACAUAUGACCACAGCCGCUCUCCACUUUAAACCGUGUGCCGCGAAAACACUCCAGACAUAAGUCCGAAAACGUUUCACAACACACAAACAACAUAAAUUUUAAAAGCCGCAUCAUAAACAUUUCUUUCGAAAUAUUUAUGAGCUGUACAAUACCACAAACAAUGAAUCACCCCUCGAUCGGGCACUCCGGGAACGAGUCGUCACUCACUCCCUUAGAACUCACGCACUCACUGCGCUGCCAACUUAACGGAACGAAAAUGGACAAACGUCAAAACGACCAAAACAAAAAGUGGAAAAAAAUGUGUAAAAGUGCAAGUUGGAAACGAGCUGCUGCAAAAAUCUACAAUUUUGCGAAGAAAUUAUUGCGAAAGCGGAGAAAAUAUUACGGAAAGUGGUUUUAUUUACUGUAAUCGGUUGUCGUUAAGCUAAUUGAGCUGUCUUUUGGGGAUCGUGGGAGGGUUUAUUUGUAUUUUUAGAUCGACGCAAAUGAGGCAUCAACACAACAUGGCACGGACGAAAGUAGUUCUAAUAGGAAUUAUUCUAGCGAUGGAUGGAUAUUGGACUUACUUGAAGCUGCACAAGAAUGACGAAAAAUACAAAAAAGAUGGACUGGACUGCUAUUUCUACGUUAAUUGACGGCAAAGAAGAACUGAACGAGAACGGACAAAAACAACGUUGGACUGGACGUUGUUCAAAGUGACGAAGGCGUACCAUUCUUCAUGAACGGCAGCUGAACCGAUUACAUGAGCAGCGACGCAUCAAUCAGAAUGACGGUAAAGGAAAACUGACAAAUCUACUGAUGAUAACGGACGAUUUAAGGAUAAGAUGGGAAUAACGAAAAACCAAUUACCACGGAAGGAUGAAUACUCGGACGGAAAACUGCAACUAGGACUAAGGAUUGGUCGAAGAACGAAAACAAACAGGCAACUCUAAUAAGAACUGUAAGUGAUUUUCCUACUAAUUAAUCCUAAUCUUAAGGUACUAAAAAUAGAAUUACCGUAGGUCGUUAGGCGCGUACUAAUCACUAAUAUUUACAAAAUUUACAGUAUUUACAUGGGAGGAUUACGUUUCGUAGUCUCAACUCCCUUUCUAUGUGGAUUUCUUUGCCCUUAAAGGUGUUUUCGUGGAGAUUUUCAUGGAAAUGCCUUAGUUGCUUCUUGGGGAAGUUCACAUAGCUCGUCUACCUAACAGUCCAUCAAUUUUCCAAGUGAGAUGACGUCAUAGCUGGCGAUCAAUCACUGUGAUGGAUGAGUUCGAGUCACCUAAUGGUCAAUUGAGGCCAGAGGUCUCACAUGGGCUCCUUCCUAGGCUUCGUAAGGACCAGUACUAACUCAGUACUGAGUACCGAGGAUUGGAAGUCAUCACUUAGGCUCCCUGUAGUCUUCGUGUUCCCACGUACUAUUGGUCAGGUCAUCACCCAGCUCCUUCUAUGCUUGAUGAUCUUUACUACUUCAGUGAGAAAUCAUCGCCCAGGGACUCUCUUCAAGACCUGAGGUGUUUCUAGCUCAUUUUCACCUGGAUUGGUCCAACCUGACUUUUCCCCGAAGGUGUUUUAUGAAGUUGGUCUCUCACGAUACAUAGCUUUGGAAAAAUUGUCGGUCACCUUAGUGACUGGUAAUUUAUGAACCCUUGGGCAUGUUUUGAUCAACUUGGUCACUCCGAAGAGGUUCAUAGCUUGAAAAAAUUUGUUAUUCUAUGUCGGUGGGUGCAUCCUUUUACGAUGACCCCCGUUAAGGCUCCAAGGUUCACUCCAAGGCGUUUCCCUUGAAGGUCCCCAAGAUCGUACCAGUGUUUCCCAAGCACUUUUCCGACUACGACACGUUGUUUUUAGAGAUAGUUUCGGCAAACUCUCUUUGCUUGACCUAAUUACUCCUUGGUCCGUUUGAAAACCGAAUCUGUGGGAGUAAUGUCGGAACUUCAUUUCUUUUGAGAUUACGGACUAAAAUAUAAGUUUCUAGUCAGUGUGUCGAAUAGAUUUUGUUUAAAUAAUAGGGGUAUGUGCAGGUUUUUUAAAGGUAGAGAAAAGUACUAAGGAGUUCACUAAUGUUCGUCAUAAUAAGUUAAAUUUUUCAAUAGCACAAAUACACAAAAAUACGACUAAGUUCUUCACACAACACAAACAUAUAAUAACGACAAACUAAAUCAGGAAACAACAAUUGUGCGUGAAGUACGAAGUGAAUAAGAAAAAUACCGCAUACAAUUUUGAAUAAAAAAGUUCUAAUGUGUUUUAAUGUA